rnacentral:tRNA from 1 species
GGGAGGUUAUCUCAGCUGGGAGAGCGCCUGCAUCACAUGCAGGAGAUCAUCGGUUCAAGUCCGUUAUCCUCCAC